GUCAGCGGUGAAAUCUCGACGCUUAACGUCGAACCUGCCGUUGAAACUGGGUUUCUUGAGUACAGAUGAAGUAGGCGGAAUUCGUUGUGUAGCGGUGACAUGCAUAGAUAUAACGAGGAACUCCAAUUGCGUAGGCAGCUUACUAAACUACAACUGACGCUCAAGCACGAAAGCGUGGGGAUCAAACAGGAUUAGAUACCCUGGUAGUCCACGCCGUAAACGAUGAUUACUAGCUGUUUGCGAUAUGAUAGUAAGUGGCUAAGCGAAAGCGAUAAGUAAUCCACCUGGGGAGUACGCCGGCAACGGUGAAACUCAAAGGAAUUGACGGGGGCCCGCACAAGCGGAGGAACAUGUGGUUUAAUUCGAUGAUACGCGAGGAACCUUACCCGGGCUUGAAAUGCAAUCGACCGUCCUUGAAAGAGGACUUCUAGCAAUAGCGAUUGUGUAGGUGCUGCAUGGUUGUCGUCAGCUCGUGCCGUGAGGUGUCGGCUUAAGUGCCAUAACGAGCGCAACCCACAUUGUCAGUUACUAACAGGUUAAGCUGAGGACUCUGACAAGACUGCCGGCGUAAGCUGCGAGGAAGGUGUGGAUGACGUCAAAUCAGCACGGCCCUUACGUCCGGGGCGACACACGUGUUACAAUGGGAGGUACAAAGGGCAGCUACCUGGCGACAGGAUGCCAAUCCCCAAAACCUCUCCCAGUUCGGAUCGGAGUCUGCAACUCGACUCCGUGAAGCUGGAUUCGCUAGUAAUCGCGCAUCAGCCAUGGCGCGGUGAAUGCGUUCCCGGGCCUUGUACACACCGCCCGUCAAGCCAUGGGAGCCGGGGGUAUCUGAAGUGCGUAACCGCAAGGAGCGUCCUAGGGUAAAACUGGUGACUGGGGCUAAGUCGUAACAAGGUAACC
rnacentral:rRNA from 1 species